rnacentral:rRNA from 1 species
AUGACCAUUGCUGGACGAUGGGUACUUGUCAGAGCAGUGCUAACUGCCAUCCCAGUUUUUGCUAUGACCGUACUCUGUAUGCCAAAGAAACUUUUCAAGGAGAUUGACAAAGUAAGGCGCCGCUUUCUGUGGGCACAAGAGGAAGAGCUUUCUGGAGGCAAAUGCAAGGUAAAUUGGAACAAGGUC